AGCAUGGCCAAAAUCUAUUGCCUGGAGGCUUUGUCCAGUCCCAUUGUGGGCCACAGUGACAUAGCCAGGACCAUGGAGAGAGACCAUUGCUGAGGAGGUGCAGAGGGCAAGUCCCUGGCCAAUCAGAUGAUCCUACAUGACGAAGCUGCUCGUAAAGAUGCAAGUCUGAUGACAAACUCAGGAUGAUGAGUGAGUGAUAGUGUUGUUAUUUAAUAGCCUGAUAGGAUAUACCUACUGCCAACAUUUUCAUGUACACUGUUCCUAUAGGACGCAUUUGAUUUUGUUUGGAUGGUCUGGAAAGCUGUUUGAAACUUUUAAAUAGUAUGUUGAAGAGUGCGCCAGUAGACUACCAUCAUGUAGCAAGCUCUGACAAGGGCUCUAAUGACACGAGUAUUUGACCUUAUAGCCAGGGGUCGUGUUAUGGUGAAGUUGCUUGAGACUAUUAUAGCCAUUGCCUUGGCUACGUGUGCAGUGUUUGAAGACGUGCUUGUGUGUGUAUAGAGUUAUUAUUGUUUUGCCAUAAUUCGUAGUAAGUACUGUUCACGUGUUUUCUCCCUACUAGACCUGAGGAUUUGUACCAACCAGGUGAGGUGGACUUUGACCCCAAUGAGGAGAGCUUACUAGCGGAGCUCCACCUAGCAACCAGCAGUAGCAACGCACCUGGAGUGGAUCAGAUCAUUAUAAACAAUGAGAAACUGAUGCUGGAGAAGACGAGUGCUGACUCGGCUCUGUUUAAGUCCAAGAGCAAGAAAUCAAAGUGGCUCGACUAGUGAGUUGUGUCACGUCAGUUAGUGUGUAGAGUUGUAGUGAAGCUUUUCUUAUUCUAGUCACUCUAUAGAGAUUAUUAUAGAAUACAGUCAGGUUAAUUAAUGGACUCCAUAGCGGACCUAUGCCACCUCUAGAGUACAGCUAUACUGUUUCACUGUAUACCUUGAAGUAAGAUUAUAAUCUAGUGCGAUAAGAUACUAUUAGUGUUAUGAUUCUACUAAAACUCGUUCUCAAAAGUUUCAGCCUAUAGUCUAGUUUUAUUUUAUUGCUCCCGUUACUUGCUGCUUAGCCAGAUCAUAUAUACUAUUGUAUAACACUACUCUGGUUUCUAUAGAUCUUUAUUAUUUAUGUCAACAGCCGAGGGUAGCACUUCAGUGCUCUAGUUCUAAUUGUAGAUUGACUGAUCGAUUUGCAUGUCUUCUGUACUAUUGUUUGAUUUUUCCACCCCUCAUCUUUUCCGGCCCCCAGUUAUGCGGCCAUUUUUCAGCCCGGCCAAGUGUUGAGGAGACAAGGUGAGGCACUGAGAAUGGAGGUAGAGGUACAGAGUACAUUAACUGGAAAAUGCAUUUGUGUCAUACUUUGUAGAGUCCCUUAAAGUCAUUCAAGGUCAGCUAUAGUGUGUCCUAUUUGAAGGUGUGCAAUGUACAAUCAUGUACGACCCCCCCCCCA